rnacentral:lncRNA from 1 species
AAUCAUAUUUUUUUCUAUAGCUAAGCACAAUUAGCACUCAUGUUUAAUACAAUGGUCCUAGUCUUUGGCCAAUACUGAGUCCGCCCCUGCUCCUAGUGUGGCUUCAUAGACAUGAAAAAGACGGCCUCCAUUCUAGUCUAAUAAGCCCUAAGCCACUAACAACACCUUCCCACCAAAUUUCAACCAACAUCGUCCUCGAUCCUAGUGCUUAGCUCCACAUCGUCCCCAAUUCUAGCUCUUAACUUGAUCGGUGAUACGUAGCGCAACAUAGAAUUGUCGUCUAUCAAAGGUUGGAGAAACGUGCUGGAGGGGCAAGUUGACAAUGCAGACGCUUUGCGC